CCUACGGGAGGCAGCAGUGGGGAAUAUUGAACAAUGGGCGCAAGCCUGAUCCAGCAAUGCCGCGUGUGUGAAGAAGGCCUGCGGGUUGUAAAGCACUUUCAGUAGAGAAGAAAAGCUCAAGGUUAAUACCCUUGCGUCUUGACGUAACCUACAGAAGAAGCACCGGCUAACUCCGUGCCAGCAGCCGCGGU
rnacentral:rRNA from 1 species